UUUGAUGUUUCAGAAAUAUUCACAAAUUUCCAGAAAUGUCUGGAGUUUAAUUAAAUAAUGACAGCCUGGCUGUUUGGAUAUGGUCUGUAUAGACGGGGUAAACAAAUCCACAUGUUUAAAUGUUUUUAUAUACACAAUUUUUACACUGUACCUUAUUUGAUAUCAAGAGGAGAACUUGGCAGAUGGCAGAUUGGCUGGCAAAUUGUGAACACUGGAAGAAAAAGAAGAAAAGAUAAGUUUAGACAUACAUUUGUAAACACGUUGAUCAAAUUCAGCAUGUUAUAAAUCCAGUAUUAUACAAAUAUAAUUCUCAAACACGAGACACCGGUACCGAACUGGAUAUUUUCUCACCGAGGCAGGGUGCUUCAGGUUCCUUCAGUCCUUGGGGUUGCCUGUUAUAUAGCAGCAUUACCGUUCACUCAGCAGAAUUUUCUAGCUAUAUAUGGUCACAUAGCAUUACUUAAUGUAUGUUUGUGUUAUAUAUAACACUAUUAAGGACUUGUCUUGAUGUCACACAAGUGCAAGUGCUGGUGUUUCUUAGGAAGAUUCCUUCAAAAUCUAUGUUUGUUUUUUUUAACUAUAUUAACAUCUAAGCAUUUCUUUUGCAAAGUUAUUCACUUAUGCAGAGUUAAAUGCCUAUUAAAAUGUGUGUAAAUAUUCAGACACACUGUCUAUUGAGUAUCCUGUAAAUAUUCUUUAAAUACAUAUUUAUACUACUCUUAAAUUAAUAAAAUUUUUGUAGCCUUUUUUUCUGCUCUGUAUUUUAUAAAAGUUUAUGAACUUAAUUUUUUUUUUAGUGCUUCCCAUCUCUUCACUCAAAUGAAAUCGGAUGUGGAGGAAAAACUCUGUACCCACUGGUGUUCAGUUUCAGAUUUUCUGAAAAUACAUACAAUUUCAUUUGAGUGAAGAGAUGGGAAGAACUGACCCAAAUAAAAUGGAAUUGAACAGCACAUUGACUUUUUUUUAAUAAUAAUUAUUUAUGAUAAAAUCUCUUGAGAUGCAUGACAUUCAUUUAAAGAUGCAGAUACUGACAUGACUUGGAUACAUGAUAAGAUUUACUGGAUCUAACAUCUAGCGCUCUUUAGUGCCAGCAGAGUAUCAAAUUAAAAUGGAACAAAUUUAUAGUCUAAGAUUGAUUACUAGUAGCUGACCGUAAGAAAGAUAAUAUGUUUUGGCAAUUUUACAAGCAAGUGAAAUUUAGAAGUUAUAAGUUGGAUUUGUCAAAAUGAAAUGCUGAAUCUGAAUUAUUACAAUUAGAAUGUUUCUAUUAGGAUUAAAUGCAAAUAUAGAAACAAGCUACUGUAGCUGUCUGGUUUGGGCCUCAAAAAUGUUGUAGUGCAGUAUAUUUAAGUGCUUAAUGAGAUUAAACAUAAGACAUAGUUGCUGUCAUCUGCGAAGUGUCUCCUUGUUUAUUUUAAUCAAGUAUUAAAAUGUGAAAGUCUUUAUGUAAGUUUAUGUAAAUCCUUAAGUACUACAUUUUUGCAUAAAUUCACAUUACAUUAAAAAAAAUGCAUUGAUCUUAGUCCCAGUUCCAGACAGUUUACACAUGUUGGCAUUUACAAUCAAUAUAUUCAUUAUUCUGAUGUGAUUAUUUGAUAGAAAAUAAAGCGACAACACAUGCCAGGUCUCCCAAUUCCCCUGAGAGAGAAGGAACUUUUAUUGUUUGCAUGACAUUUUAAUUUUGUGUUAGCAAAAAUCAUUCAAGUAUUUCUACUCUGCAAAUGUUCUGGAAAUGACACGUCUCCAAUUAUGGUGCUGUGUUAUAUGUUCACACUGACUAUUUCUGAAGGCUUUGAAUUUGCAAGUGUGCAUCUCAGUCGUUGUGCUUAUAGUGGGAUGUUUUUCCAUUCUUACCUGAAGUUCACUGAGACUUAAUUUUAGACAUUUGUAGUGCUUUCCAGUUGCAAACUGUUUGAAUAUCUGUGUGAAUAUAUGUGUGAAUGUGUGGUUCAUACUUUGAAUGUGAGAAAAACAGGAAUUGUCGAAUAAUCUCCAUUGUGUAGCGAGUGCAGUGCGUCAUUCCCUGGCCUGGUUUAUCAGUUUUGCUUUAAAAGUGAACAGUUUUUAAGACGUCACAAGUCCCGUUCAUUAUUCUUUGCUCUUUGGAAAUUCUAAAAUCUGAUUUUAAUUUGUAUUUAUUGCUAAUGAGCAAGCCAGACACAGUGUGAGGGAAAAACUCCCUAAGAACAGGAGCCAAAUUCGGAAGGAAACUCAUCAUCUCAUUGACACUAGAGUGUGUGAGUGUCAGUUAUUUUCUUUUUGUACAGUAUCUGUUCACUAUAUUGUCAUGUGCAGUUGUAUAACUAGAAGCUUUUGAGCAAUUUAUGAGAAUGAGCAUCAGCAUCAGUUUAAUAAAGAAGUACAAUCAGAGUAAAUCUAUACUCAGCAUGGAUUUGAUGACCCUCAGACCAUCAGUUCAGAGCUUCCUCAAGAACAGUGUGUGUUACUGAUUUCUUGUUUUCCACUUUACCUUUGUCUUCUUUGCCUUCUCUAGCUCAUGGAUGGUCUUUCCAUUCUGCUUUUUCUUUCCUUAUGGGACGUUCUCCUAGGGAGCACUCAUCCUGUAAGGCCAUAUGAUUAUUAUAAAAUAAAGACAAAAAUAAUUGAUAUUACCAAUUUCAAAUACAAAAUAUGCACAGCUGGCCUCGGAGUGGCAUUAUUAGAGUUUCUAUCUUUUCACCAUCUUUUCCUUAAGUUCUUUAUUCUUGGCCAGUGCUUUUGCCUUCAUUGUUUUCAUUGCAGCCAUUUCCUUCUCUUGAGAAGGGGCUUGAUCAUGAAUUUGAGAUUUAUCCAUGUUUCACAUUUAUGAAUUAGCAGAUAUGACCAGUAUACAGGAAGGCCAGCUGUUUGCUGUACAGCCGAGUCUGUAGGUGUCAGUAGAUUAUCAAUAGUCCAACAUCAAUCUGUCAAUAUAUACUACAGUUAAUGUGUUACUUUUGUACUGUAUUGUAAGAAGGACACAGUUCCUAAUGAUGUUAACAGGAUUUUUCUGACAUUCAAAUUGUCAAAAAAUGUUUUUGGUAAAAAAUAGUUUGAGAGUAUAGUCAAAGAAACUGUGAACAGAUCAAUUAUGUAGUUUAUAAUAUGUGGCGUUAUGAUAGUAAAUGACUUGAUCACAGUAUUUCAGAUGGUAACUUGUCAUUUUAAUGUCACAUUUAUUUCAGUGCUGUAGUAACUAUCCAAACCAUUUGGCUCAAUAUAAAUCUAAUGAACUACUUUUCAUUUUUAGAGCUUAGCUUGGUGAUAGACUUACUUGGCAAUGGAGGAGCUGUGAAAUGCUGCUGGUAUUCAGUGUCAUGGAAUUUGCCAGUCAGACAUUUUUAUUAAUACGGUCAGAUGGUCACUUUUAAUUCAUGUACUGAGCCUUAGUCAAGGAUUAAUAUUAUUUUUCACUCAAUGCCUCUGUUUCAGUAUACGGUCAAAAUUUAACCAAGGAAAAUAAAUUAACCGUCAUCUUUAAAGGAACAGCGUGUAUUAGGUUGCUUUUGUUAUUGAGAGUAUGUUCUGUACUGUCGCCUAAGCAUGGCUCCAACUAUGGUUAGAAAAUCUGCAGUACAAAUAGCAUCUAAUAAGAGAGGUGGCUCGUAUGACUUCCUGGAGUGAAACCAUGGAUUAGCCCUGGGGGAGAGCUCAGAUGCCACUGGUAUACUGUUGCAUGGUUCUCGCAAGUGAAGCAUUUUUAUUAAUAAAUCGCAUGAAAGCAAACAGCUUUUCAGUCUCCAAAGCCUGAGGGUGGUGUUGACAGGUGGCUGCUCAUAUAUCCUACAGUACAUAAAUGUGUUCUAUAAUGCUCAACUGGCUUGGCAGAUCUGAGGUUGGGCUCACAGAAAACUCUAUUUGUUUUUCUUUCCUCUCUUUACAGGUAAUGAUUAUUUCAAGGGUCUGAAGGAGUGUGCUGUUUCAGCUCUCCGUCACCCACCAGCUGAAUCAUGUCAGAGCCCAAAAUGAACAGCUUUACAAUAAAUAAAGCGUUCGCUCGUCGGGUCUCACCAGUUACUCUUCCACGUGUGACGGACGUCAGGGUCGUGGAUGCCAUGUUUGUCCGCCUGCUCGUCCAGGAAGUCGAACAUAUAUUUGAUGGCGAGCGGGAGCGCGCUGCCACGAUUGGCCGUGCUGAAGAGCGUCUCGAACAGAUCAUCUACAAACUUCUGCAACGUGCCCUGCAGAAACAUAUAUAUAACCGGUCCAAAAGAUCAGACACUCACCGUAUCGGCUGAAGCUCCGAGGAAAGCUGGCUGACGUUGAGAUGUUGUAAGAGGACGUCUGCUUAGCUCUCGGAGCACCGGGUGGUCGUCCAUGCCUGGAAACAGGAUCCUCAUGAUAUAGGUGCGGUAAUCCAGGUGUGGGAUUCCAGCCCGGUCCAGAUCACUCGUCAGCUCGUUUAUGUCUGUCUGGAGCUCUG